GUCACACGCAAACUUAGCGCGUACUUUGGUGCGUACUUAGCGCGUACUUACCGCGAACUAAGUGUGAACUCCGCUUCUGUUUGGUCGCGCCAAACGCAUGCAAUCGCAUGCAAGUGGGACUGGCCCCUUUACUUAACCUUGCAUGACUGAGCAGAUAUUCAGAAUCAGAAAGAAAGCUGUUCCAUAAUCCCAAAUGAAACCAAUGGAGUCACAAACUCAGGCUGAGGUUUUAAAAGCUACAGAUCUGAGAACAGAUUACACAGUGUAAAUCGUGGAAGGUCCUCUGAAAGACACUAUACCCACCAGCGCUAACAAACUUGAGCAAGCUCCAGGCAAUCUGGCCAUACCAUCCAUUUUGGAAAACUCUACAUUUGCAGACUUGGUUACCUGCAUAAGUUAAGGGUGACUUGAAAUAAAUGUUCAAGGAGAAGGAGAAUAAGGAAAAUAAGCAGAAAGCAGUUUCCUGCAACAGAAAGCCUGUAAAAAGAAGAGCACAGAUUAAAUGUUAAAUCACAAAACACAGAAGCAACAUGAAGAUGAAGAAAAUUAAGUAGUAAGUUGUGAUGAUCUGGAAUACACUUCCUGAAUUGGUAGAGGAAGCAUAUUCAGGAGUCAUUAAAAAAAUGGAGUAUAUAAAAAAGGAGGAAAAUGAAAAUAAAGCAUAUUAGAAGGAAAAUAAACUGGGAAGUGAAACUUGUUGGUUGACUCCUUCAGCAAAUGGUCCAAUUGGCUGUUCUGCUUCUGUGAUAUAAUGGAUCUAUGUAAGAACAGACAAUGUUAUAAUGAAUGAAGGUUAGUUGCACUGUUUUUUACUUCAGACUCAUGAAUUUGUUUAAUCAGCUUUUCUAUUCUUCAAGUGAUGUGAGCACAAAUAUAAUUCAUAAGCUAUUUACAUGAAAAAAGUUUUCUUAGAGGGUUGGACUUGAGAAGUGGAAUUGGUGUUUACUCAUGGUCCCUCCUGCAUGUUUGGUCAGUUUAUUCUUAAUUGCUAACAAAAUCCAAUAUAGAGUUAUAAAUUCAUACACACGAGGCAGACAGAGUUCAAGGGAAGCGUGUAUUGUUUAUUCAAGGGCUCUUUACAUUUUGCUUUUGGAACUUUCUAGACACAGUUGUACAUAUCACAUGCUUAUAAGGCUGACAGACUAAGUAACAAAUCUUGUUCACAAUCAAUAUUACAUAUACCACAAUGCUGAAAGGUCUAGCUCAUCAGAUUUCCCUCACUUAUUUUUUAACGAGUGCAUAAAUACUGAAAAUAGCUUAAUGUGUUUCAAUAGUGAUGAAUUUGCAGUCAGAUUAAGGUGAAACUGUUAGCAAUCCUCGUUAUUUGGAAAAAUGAAGCAUGAGAAGCCAUUUUGGUCAAACAAAAUCUGAAUUUUAUCUUUGAUGAUAAUGGCUGUUUGGCCAAUAGUCUGUCUCGUCCUUUUCUCUCUUUGUUGUUUUUAGUAUGUGUUACAUGUAUGUUUUAGUGUUCUUUAGCUUUGUUUUAUGUGGAGGGUGGGGGUUUGGGGGAAACUUUUUUUAAUCUCUUACCUCGACGGAGAUUAGAUUUUCUUUCCAUAUCAUAUCUCCAUCCGCACUGCGGCCUAACAUCGAGGAGCUGGGUAGACCUCUUGCUGGGUAGAUCUUUGACUUUGUGAGCUCUAACCAGGGGAGCCUGCGGUAUUACCAUUGUGGAGCUGGCGGUCCCUGUCGGGGAUCGACCUUGGAGUUCCAACCGCGGGAGCCUACAGAUUUUAACAUUUGGGAGCUCCAGGCCGCAGGAGCUUCGAAUGUCCCGAUCACGGGAGCUUUGACCGCCCCUACGCGGGGGCUUUGAUCGCUGACUGAGGGAGCUUCGAUCACCCCGACUGCGGAUGGUUCGCCUGCCCCGACCGCAGGAGAAUAAAGAAUGAAGAAGAUUAGACUUUAUUGGCUUCCAUCACAGUGAGGAAUAUGAGCAAUCCCCAUGUUAACUUUUAUGUAGCUGUGUGUCUUUUUUUUUAGUAUGUCUGUAUGGUAAAGUGAGUUUCACUGUACCUACAUUGGUACGUGACAAUAAAAUACCUUUGUCCCUUUGAACCUUUGAUCUUUCACAGAUUUUCAUUAAUUUUGUUGUUGGAAUUUCCAUCCUUUGAUGGAAUUGUUUACCAAGGCCCAGUCUGAUCUAAAAGAUCCCAUGGCACUGUUUGAAGAUCAUCAGCUGAUUUCUCCUGUGGUCCCACUUGACAUUUCUCCCUCAAUCAAAUCUAAAACAGAUUACCUAAUCAUCUAUUUCAUUGCAGAUUCUGUCACCUGCAGGAUGUAAAUUGGCUAUAAAGAUCCCUUAUGCUGAUCAAAGGUGCUACAGUGUAUCAUACAAGCCUUCUUUGCCUAGAACUAUAAAAAAUUACAAAAACAUAUUUCUCCAAAGCAAAUAAAUUUGGGAGCAAUAAAUCCAUGCAUGUUUUCAACCACAUUGCAAUGUUUUAAGUUUUGAUGCAUAUAUGUCAAUUUCUGUCUGUGUCAAUAUUUGAAUCAGAGCUGGUGCAGUGAUACAUACAGAAUCUCUUUCCUGUUCAUGCUUUAGUUUUGCAAAUUGAAGGAGGAUCCAUAUUAAAAGAGACAUUUCAUGUAUAAUUUGAGAAAGUAGCUUAAAUAUUUUAACUUCCAAGCC